rnacentral:rRNA from 1 species
CCUACGGGGGGCAGCAGUGAGGAAUAUUGGUCAAUGGACGAGAGUCUGAACCAGCCACGUCGCGUGAAGGAUGACUGCCCUCUGGGUUGUAAACUUCUUUUAUAUGGGAAUAAAAUGUUCCACGUGUGUGAUUUUGUAUGUACCAUAUGAAUAAGGAUCGGCUAACUCCGUGCCAGCAGCCGCGGUAAUACGGAGGAUCCGAGCGUUAUCCGGAUUUAUUGGGUUUAAAGGGAGCGUAGGUGGAUUGUUAAGUCAGUUGUGAAAGUUUGCGGCUCAACCAUAGAAUUGCAGUUGAAACUGGCAGUCUUGAGUACAGUAGAGGUGGGCGGAAUUCGUGGUGUAGCGGUGAAAUGCGUAGAUAUCAGGAAGAACUCCGGUGGCGAAGGCAGUUCACUGGACUGCAACUGACACUGAGGCUCGAAAGUGUGGGUAUCAAACAGGAUUAGAUACCCUUGUAGUC